GAAAGCCCCGGCUAACUACGUGCCAGCAGCCGCGGUAAUACGUAGGGGGCAAGCGUUGUCCGGAAUUAUUGGGCGUAAAGCGCGCGCAGGCGGUUCCUUAAGUCUGAUGUGAAAGGCCACAGCUCAACUGUGGAGGGCCAUUGGAAACUGGGGAACUUGAGGACAGAAGAGGAGAGCGGAAUUCCACGUGUAGCGGUGAAAUGCGUAGAUAUGUGGAGGAACACCAGUGGCGAAGGCGGCUCUCUGGUCUGUAACUGACGCUGAGGCGCGAAAGCAUGGGUAGCGAACAGGAUUAGAUACCCUGGUAGUCCAUGCCGUAAACGUUGAGUGCUAGGUGUUAGGGGGUCCAACCCUUAGUGCUGCAGUUAACGCAAUAAGCACUCCGCCUGGGGAGUACGGCCGCAAGGCUGAAACUCAAAGGAAUUGACGGGGGCCUGCACAAGCGGUGGAGCAUGUGGUUUAAUUCGACGCAACGCGAAGAACCUUACCAGGUCUUGACAUCUUCGGACAGCCCAAGAGAUUGGGUCUUCCCUUCGGGGACCGAAUGACAGGUGGUGCAUGGUUGUCGUCAGCUCGUGUCGUGAGAUGUUGGGUUAAGUCCCGUAACGAGCGCAACCCCUGAUCUUAGUUGCCAGCAUUCAGUUGGGCACUCUAGGAUGACUGCCGGUGACAAACCGGAGGAAGGCGGGGAUGACGUCAAAUCAUCAUGCCCCUUAUGACCUGGGCUACACACGUGCUACAAUGGAUGGUACAAAGGGAAGCCAAACCGCGAGGUCGAGCUAAUCCCAUAAAGCCAUUCUCAGUUCGGAUUGUAGGCUGCAACUCGCCUGCAUGAAGCCGGAAUCGCUAGUAAUCGCGGAUCAGAAUGCCGCGGUGAAUACG
rnacentral:rRNA from 1 species